rnacentral:rRNA from 1 species
UGAAAAAACUUAUAUCAGCAGCCACAGCCGCCGCCCUUUCGCUCUGCGCCUUUUGCAGCGAUUUUUCAAUAGGGUUCAAGCCUGAAGAUGGGCGCUGUCUCGACGCGAGACUCGGUGAAAUUUAUGUUCCGGUAAAGAAGCCGGAUACCCGCAAUCAGACGGAAAGACCCCGUGAACCUUCACCGCAGCCCGGCGCUGGGACCCUGUGCGGCAUGUGUAGGAUAGCUGGGAGGCUUCGAGGCGUGGCCGCCAGGCUGCGCGGAGCCGCCGGUGAAAUACCAGCCCUGACGGGCGGGGUUCCUAACCCCUCCCCUGAGCGGGGGGCGGGGACAGGGCCGGGCGGGCGGUUUGACUGGGGCGGUCGCCUCCCAAAGCGUAACGGAGGCGCGCGAAGGUCCCCUCACUCCGGUUGGGAAUCGGAGCGCGAGUGUAAGGGCACAAGGGGGCCUGACUGCGAGCGGGACACCGCGGGCAGGCGCGAAAGCGGGUCCUAGUGAUCUGGCGGCGCCGUGUGGAAGGGCCGUCACUUAACGGACAAAAGGUACUCCGGGGAUAACAGGCUGAUCGCCGCCAAGAGCUCAUAUCGACGCGGCGGUUUGGCACCUCGAUGACGGCUCGUCACAUCCUGGGGCUGGAGAAGGUCCCAAGGGUCCGGCUGUUCGCCGGUUAAAGCGGCACGCGAGCUGGGUUCAGAACGUCGCGAGACAGUUCGGUCCUCUAUCCUCUGUGGGCGUUGGAGAAUUGAGGGGUUCAGACCUUAGUACGAGAGGACCGGGUCUGACGCACCACUGGUGCACCGGUUGUUCCGUCAGGAGCACGGCCGGGUAGCUAAGUGCGGAAGGAAUAAGCGCUGAAAGCAUCUAAGCGCCAAGUCCCUCCCAAGAUGAGUUCUCCCUAUAGGAGCGUGGAAGACGACCACGUAGAUAGGGUGCAGGUGUAAUUGCAGUAAUGCAUUGAGCCGAGCACUACUAACAUCCAAUUGACCUUAUACA